rnacentral:lncRNA from 1 species
AACUGCUUAUCACUCAUGCCCAAGACCGAUUCUUUAGCUAUUGACAUAAUUUAGAAUAAUUGCCAACUAUCGAGUACAGGGACUAAAGCCACAUAACAAUCAAUAGAUGCUCUGCAACAAGCUGGGAGAUGGGCAUCCAUGAGUCACUCACUAAGCCCUCCACCUGUUCUGCUGUCUCCUGCAAUGUUCAAUUGUCUUCCUCAUCACCUCUUUGAAAGUAUCAUUACGAAGGGCUAUCCCAUUGCAAUGUCAGUGAACAUUUUCGCGACCUCCUCUGCACUCCCCGGCAUGUUAUCUACUAUGCCUGCAGACAUAACUGUACAUCCUUUCCGGUGUCUAUAAGGCUACAUACGAUGAAAACUCGG